rnacentral:rRNA from 1 species
GAUGAACGCUGGCGGCGUGCUUAACACAUGCAAGUCGAACGAUGAAGCGCAGCUUGCUGGGUGGUUUAGUGGCGAACGGGUGAGUAAGACGUGAGUAACCUGCCCUUAACUCUGGGAUAGGCCUGGGAAACAGGGUGUAAUACCGGCCAGGAGCUGCCACCAAAUGGAGGGUGGUGGAAAGAUUUAUCGGUUUUGGGUGGACUCGAGGCCUAUCCGCUUGGGGGUGAGGGAAUGGCUCACCAAGGCGAUGACGGGUAGCCGGCCUGAGAGGGUGACCGGCCACCCUGGGACUGCGACACGGACCAGAAUCCUACGGGCGGCAGCAGUCGGGAAUCUUGCAGAAUGGGCGCACGCCUGAUGCAGCGACGCCGCGUGCGUGAUGCCCUCCUUCGGGUUGUAAACCUCUUUCAGUAUGGAAGAAGCCAAAGUGACGGUACCUGCAGAAGAAGCCCCGGCUAACUACGUG